GAGUUUGAUCUUGGCUCAGAUUGAACGCUGGCGGCAUGCCUUACACAUGCAAGUCGAACGGCAGCACGGGAGCUUGCUCCUGGUGGCGAGUGGCGAACGGGUGAGUAAUGCAUCGGAACGUAUCCUGGAGUGGGGGAUAACGUAGCGAAAGUUACGCUAAUACCGCAUAUUCUGUGAGCAGGAAGGCGGGGGACCUUCGGGCCUCGCGCUCUUGGAGCGGCCGAUGUCGGAUUAGCUAGUUGGUGGGGUAAAGGCUCACCAAGGCGACGAUCCGUAGCAGGUCUGAGAGGAUGAUCUGCCACACUGGAACUGAGACACGGUCCAGACUCCUACGGGAGGCAGCAGUGGGGAAUUUUGGACAAUGGGGGCAACCCUGAUCCAGCCAUGCCGCGUGAGUGAAGAAGGCCUUCGG
rnacentral:rRNA from 1 species